rnacentral:rRNA from 1 species
GACGAACGCUGGCGGCGUGCUUAACACAUGCAAGUCGAACGAAGAGCGAUGGAAGCUUGCUUCUAUCAAUCUUAGUGGCGAACGGGUGAGUAACGCGUAAUCAACCUGCCCUUCAGAGGGGGACAACAGUUGGAAACGACUGCUAAUACCGCAUACGAUCUAACCUCGGCAUCGAGGAAAGAUGAAAGGUGGCCUCUAUGUAUAAGCUAUCACUUAAGGAGGGGAUUGCGUCUGAUUAGCUAGGUGGAGGGGUAACGGCCCACCAAGGCGAGGAUCAGUAGCCGGUCUGAGAGGAUGGACGGCCACAUUGGGACGGAGACACGGCCCAGAGUCAUACGGGAGGCAGCAGUGGGGAAUCUUCCGCAAUGGACGAAAGUCUGACGGAGCAACGCCGAGUGAGUGAUGACGGCCUUCGGGUUGGAAAGCUCUGUUAAUCGGGACGAAAGGCCUUCUUGCGAAUAGGGAGAAGGAUUGACGGUACCGGAAUAGAAAGCCACGGCUAACUACGUG